GUCUAAAUGAGUCUCAUCGUCCGAGGACGCUGGGUAGGCUGGCCGUGGUGGUAGGGCCUGUUGUGAGGGGGGAGUUGACAGCAUAUAGCUAAUGUCCCGUUGCUGUUUCGGGGUUUGUAUAGGCAUUUUCUGUGUCUUGCGCCCCAUCUCACCUUCCUCUCGGAGGCCCAUGUAUUCCUCUGGAUCGUCCGGUAAGGUCUCUAGGCAGGCUGCCCACACGGUAGGCCUUAGCGCCUCGGGUUCGGGUUUUUGCGCCCGGUGUGGCAAAAAAGGGUAUCUGCGGGUUCGGCAGUUGAUGCUGCAGCUUUUCCCUUUGUUUCCAGCCCAUGUCUGUGCAGGAUGCUCUUGGAUUUUGACAGAUUGGGUUUCUCUAUGUCGGAGCUCAGAUCAAUGGCGUCCGCUCCGGUGCGGUGACAAGCCCUGCCCCUCGUGUUUAGUAUGUUAACAUGUUCCUGGCAACUUUAAAUUAUUGGGCUACCCUUCAAGAAGUAAAAUAUCAACUGGAACUUACUUCUCACCCAGAGGUGUCCGAGUCUGGCAGUGGCCACCACUAUACCUUACUCUAAGAUAAUCGCUUGGAUGAUCUCAGGCUAAUCCAAUGCUUCACUACAGAGAAGCAUUAAGAGCCCUACUACCCAUGGGUGGAAAUUGCAGCGCUGCGCUAACAGUAUUCUAACACUUCUCCAUG